rnacentral:rRNA from 1 species
CGUAGGGUGCGAGCGUUAAUCGGAAUUACUGGGCGUAAAGCGUGCGCAGGCGGUUUUGUAAGACAGAUGUGAAAUCCCCGGGCUCAACCUGGGACCUGCAUUUGUGACUGCAAGGCUAGAGUACGGUAGAGGGGGAUGGAAUUCCGCGUGUAGCAGUGAAAUGCGUAGAUAUGCGGAGGAACACCGAUGGCGAAGGCAAUCCCCUGGACCUGUACUGACGCUCAUGCACGAAAGCGUGGGGAGCAAACAGAAUUAGAUACCCUGGUAGUCCACGCCCUAAACGAUGUCAACUGGUUGUUGGGUCUUUACUGACUCAGUAACGAAGCUAACGCGUGAAGUUGACCGCCUGGGGAGUACGGCCGCAAGGUUG